rnacentral:lncRNA from 1 species
UCUUUUUUUGCCCCAUUACACAGGAAACCAGGAUUACCGAAGAGAAAGCCUUUCCGUGGUGCUCCGCUGUGGUCCUUUUCAACAUUGACCCUGGAUAUUCUCUUCACUGUGGGAUGAGGUAGUAGGUUGUAUAGUUUUAGGGUCACACCCACCACUGGGAGAUAACUAUACAAUCUACUGUCUUUCCUAAGGUGAUAGAAAAGUCUGCAUUCAGUCAGCCUUACGGAAAGUUAAUAACUAGUUGUUCAGUGUUUAAAAUUAAUUUGUCUAAAAAAGAAUCUUUCAUUAUUUCCUAGAAAAGUCUUUACCAGGUAGACAAGGUAGAAAUGGGGCUACUUUUUGCUUAUCUCAUUUCUGUGUCGGAAUUAUGUUUUGUUUUGAUUGAUGCUGAUAAUUUUGUGUGAACUUUUCUUUUGAAAGAAAUUGUGCUCUUCAUUCCAGAGGAAAAGAUUGCUCUAUCAGAGUGAGGUAGUAGAUUGUAUAGUUGUGGGGUAGUGAUUUUACCCUGUUCAGGAGAUAACUAUACAAUCUAUUGCCUUCCCUGAGGAGUAGACUUGCUGCAUUAUUUUGUUUUUAUCUAGAUGAUGUUAAAGCUUGGAUGAAUUUUGACUCUUGUAUUUACAGUUGUCAGUUGUUAAUUUUCACCCUUCAAGUAGAGUACAGUAGUAGACACUGAUUUAUCUUUUAAUUUUCACAUGAUAUAUUUCAGAAAUUUGAAAUUAAGCAAAAAUCUCUGGAGAAAUGUACCUUUCAGGAAAUUUUUAAAAGAAGACCAAACCCUUUUAGGAUGUUCCUUGCCCUACAUUCUGGUAUAUAUGUCUAGAGUGAGCUUUAGCUUGGUAUAAAGGUACAUACUAACUGUAAGGGCACUGUUGGAGCUAAAUUUGAGUCAGGUUGAUUAUUUCAUUCCUAGUCUGGGGUUUUGAGUAGCUUUGGAGAAUACUAAUAUAAGCACUACCUCAUUGGUGUAUUGACUUGGACAGAAUUUAUUCACUAUCCUGAAAAGGGGGAGAUGGACUUUGGGUUCUGCUUUUGUUCCCUGGCAAGUUGCUAAGAAAAACUGAAGUGGUUCUUUAUUCCAAAACUGUUAGGUAGGAAAGUGUGUGUGUUGCUUAAAAAAAAAAAAAGACAAAUAUUAGAAAAAAACAUUGAAUUUGUUUUAACAUCCAUAAAGGCCCAUAUUUCAGCUUUCUUCUGGUGGCCAACCCAUAUGCUUCCUUGGAUAUUAUAGUCAAGCAAGACUAAGAACUCCAUUUUAAAUGCUUGCUCUUUAAACAAUUUUAUUUUGAGGAAGAGAGGGGAAAGAGGAAAAAUGUGACAGUGAGGGAGAAAUCUUCUUUUCAAAGAUAUUUCCAUUUAGUAUCUUAGCAUCUUGGAUGAUUACCAUGCAUUACCAUUGGUGGUGGGAACUUUAGAGGAAACAUGAAAACUCUUGGAUUGGUCAAAUCUAGAUGUUUUGUCCUGAACCAAUAUUUAUGCUUAUUUCAUCCCUGGCAUGUUUGUUCUUGUUCCAAAUUGGAUGUGUAAACACUGGAGGGAAACAAAUUGCUAAUAUGCAUCACCCACCUGCUGAGUAUGUGACAAGUACAGUAGUGGAAUUUUACGGUUUUCUGUUAAGUGCCCCUCCAAUGUGGAUAUCUACUGCUCUGAACUUGGAAACUUCACUAAGGUCUGGAGAAAAUUGUGUUUAUAUUAUCGAUUAUGUUAGGGCCUAUUUCAAUAUCAUUAUUAUUAUUUUUUUUUUUAGAGAGAAGUUUUUUUAAUAUUCAUUUUUUUUUUUUUUUUUUUGGCGGACACAACCUCUUUGUAUGUGGUGCUGAGGAUCGAACCCGGGCCACACGCAUGCCAGGCGAGCUUGCUACCGCUUGAGCCACAUCCCCAGCCCUCAAUAUCCUUAUUAGCUAAGCAGAGAAAGUGGAUCAGAUUGUGAAGAACUGAUAUAUUUUGUAAACAUAAUUUAAAAAGGAACCUUUAUGGAGACUGUGGCAGACUCUAAAAGCUUUUUAAUGGCAGCAAAAAUGAUGACCAUAGUGCUUCUGUUUACUGUAAUUCAGGGGUGAAGAAGGGACUAACUGGAUGUAAUUCUGAAAUGUGACCUCUCAAGUCAUAAUUUCCUCCAGUUGAUAGGUGGCAAACAGGAUUUAUAUACAAUAUUUAAUCAAGAGAGGCUGGAGGUUUUAUGAAAUUUGAUCUUUGAAUCUUGGUAAUUAAAUGUCUAAAGUAAUCCCAAGUAACCAUAAACAAAACAAAAAAAUUUAAAUAAAAAGCUGAGGCUCUAGUAUGUGGUAGGUUGAGUUAGAGGUCUGGCUUGUAUUCUUUGAUGUAAUUACUUUCUUCUUUUUAACUUGAGGUUUGUUUUUAAGCAAGUACUGUUUUGGCUUAUAGAAAAGCCAUACAGUCAAUAACUUUAAAAGCAUUAGUGAAAGAAUUCUAGUUGGUUGUGUUUGAAACAAGAUUGAAAGAAUAUGGCCUAAUUUAACUGGGUAUUUUGAUGUGCACCUGCCAAAUAGAAGAUCAGCAAGAAUAAAAUGGGUUCCUAGGAAGAGGUAGUAGGUUGCAUAGUUUUAGGGCAGGGAUUUUGCCCACAAGGAGGUAACUAUACGACCUGCUGCCUUUCUUAGGGCCUUAUUAUUCUACGGUGCCCUGUUUCCUUGUUACUUAUUCAGGUGUAAGCAGACUUCUUACUGCAGGUUUUCUCAAAUGAAAACAUUGCAGGAAUACAAAAGACAGUAGUGUUUGCAUUAGUGUCCUGUAAUUGCAACAUGGUGCCAACAUUAAUUACUGACAGUCAACUAAAGAGAAUUUGAGAAUUGUGAAAUAUACUUAGUUGCUUUUGUGUUUCACUUUGGUCACUGGAAGGUUUUGGAAAGCACCCCCCUCUCCCCCCCGCCCUCGCUUUCCCCCCCCCCCUCAAAUUUCCCUUUCUCUAACACCUAGGUCACUGUCAGCUAUUCCCCUCUCUGUAGCCACCACAUAUGUCUGAAGAGAAAGCAUUUAACAAAAUGUUGAAAUAUUUUUCUAUUUCUUUCAUUGUGUUUGUGAAUGCCUUACAAAGUUUCUGGGUUUCUUUUGUCUUCUGGAUUUAAAAUUUGAGGCCAUUCUUAAGAUGGUAUUUCAUAGUGUGGGACUUGAUGAUCACAUUGAGCUGCUUAUUAUAUAUGUAACCUUGUGAUUGAAUCUGUUAAAUGAAUGCAAGAACUAGAAAAUUAUUCAGGUACUUGAAUGAAAAUGUUUAUCAUGAUAGUGGAGUUAUAAUAAUUUAAGACAUACCUUCUCAAUAAAAAUAUUACAUAAUCUAAAGCUCGUGCUUUUAAAAUCAUUCUUAUUCUACUACAUACUUGCUAACUUUGCCGUUGUUGAAGUACUAAUUCUGUAUUUAAAUUUAUUUUAGGAUUUGUUAAAUUUCAUUUUUCAUAAAUGCACAUUUGAUGAUUGUAUUAUCAUUCACAUAUAAAUAAAGCUAACUGAAGCGAUAUCUAGCUCUUGCGUUUUUGUUAACUAUUGUGACUUUAUCCAUACAACUGUAUUUGCCGGUACACCCUGCUUUCUUUACUUAAU